CUGCUGCCGGCCCACCGAUACUUCCAGCUGACUGCUUUGCAGAACAGGAAAGGUAAUUUGUAAGCAGUGUGCUAAGUUUAACAGGAGUCUGUAAGAAGUGACAAAAUAGCCAUUUUCUGCAUGAAGAUUGAGAAUUAUCAACACCUUUCGGUGCAUAAUAGUUAAGCCUUUAUCACUUGAAGAACUGCUGAUAAGGUUAAGAACACUAGACAAACUGCUCAUUAGUGGAAAGGUUUGCCUUUUACAUUAAAGACUGCUGGGUACUGAAGUUCCUCUAGUGAGCAAUACAUCCCUGGCAUUUGAAAAGAAUGAGCCGAUCGGUGUACAUAAAUGAAUAUGGAAAAGGAGACCUGGAAUGUUCUAAUAAUAUUAGUGAGGUUUUUCUCAAGCUUAGGAAAUGAUAAGCCUGUUAAGUGUGUUCAAAAGCUGUGUGAUUUGGUAGGUAAGGCCUGAGAUUAGAAGUCAUAAGACCUAUAUUCUGUUCUAUACUCUAGCACUGACUAGCUGUGUGACCUUGGGUAGGUAAUUUACAUUUGAUGAAAGCUAGAUCAUAAGAUGAUUGAGAUACAGAAUAUCAGGAUUCUUUAGGCUGCAUCAAUAAAUAGUCUGAAUUAGCUGCAAACAUCUCAUGCAAUAUAUUGGUAAUAAAUACAGGAAAGAAAUACAGGUAAUAAAUACAUCUCUAUGCAAUAUACUGGUAAUAAAUAUUUAGGGCACAUUUAUUUUAUGCUUGCAAAGUGGAUUAAGAAUUAGAAACUGGCACUGAUCUCAUUCAUAUUUAGAAACCCUGUGUGACCAGGGGAAUGACAGUUGUUUCUGUAUCCCUGCUAUAUAGUUUUCAUACAAAUAAAAACCAGUAAAUGAUGACUUCCUUGGGGACUAUUUAUAACACUGCAUCUCUAGUUGAAGCCUCCAAAUAGUCAUAUCAAAUAGGUAAUAUUAACCCUAUUUUAUGGAUGAAUAAACCAAAGCUCAAAGUUUAAGUCGCUUGGACUAGGACACAUACGUGAGUAGCUAUAGUGGGACUGAACCCAACUCCGUGUGGUUUUGAAGUUGGCAUGUUUAAGCUUGUUUUGGGAUUGAGUCCCAUUUCUACAGAGCACCGCAACACAAACUGAGUCUGCUUCUAUUCCAUCUCUCUCUGGCUACAUGACCUGCGUCCUAUUCAUCAAUCUCUCUUUCUUUGGCCUACUUAACAUGUUUAUCAAAUCCUGUAAAGGAGAGCAAGGCUUAACUUCGAUCACAUUAGAAACUGUUCAGCCUACUGAUGAUAUCAGGCCAAUACCGAAGAGCCGUCCCUAAAAACAAAUACAGCUUUCUACUUAAUUUGUUGAGAUGAAGUGUAACAUUGAAAAAUCUCUGCGCCUAUGUGAAAAUCUGGGCAUAUCAACAGAGAUGUUCUUGCCACCUCUCAAUGAAGUAUAUUGUGAGCAACGCUCCUUUCAAACGUAUGUGUACUUACGUAUCAUCCCAAGUCCUCUUGUGCACAAUUAAGGCAAAGUGUGGUAGCCUGAAGCAAAACUGUUCUGGAACCCACAACCACGUCUUUAGAAGACUCUUUGCUCCUUCGGUGGCAAUCCUUCUCCUGUGAGGGAUGAAAGUCAGUUAAUAUAAAGGGGAAAGAGGGGGGGGCAGGAGCAUUCAGCACCAGCUCCUUAUUGCCUGAUCAGGCUGCAGAAGGAAUAGAUAAAGGAAAGAUUCAGAGAGGAGACUCCCAGAAAGCAAUGAUGAGGGAAGACAGUGUGUAAGUCUAAGAAGAAGCAACUGUACUGGCCAGGAGAGGUUUUCUGCAAGUAUGCGUGCAUAUUGAAAGGAAAAGAAAAGCAAAAAAAUAAUUUUCUUCUCCUGUACCAGCUUUCUGGUAUUUUAGUUAUCUACAUUUUGACACAAGCAUCCCACCUAGCUUCCCUCCAGGCCCAUCUUAAGUACUUCUGAGAUAUGUCAACCUAAGCCUGUCCUGUAUGACUAAGCACGGCUCCUCCACCCUGCUGGUCUCUACGCCAAGGAUCACUUUUCAGAAUCUGUCGACAGUCAUGAAGUAAUCAAGGUAUUUUCUUUUCCCUUGAAUCACCACUACAAGGGUCUCACAAUUCCACUUCUCUCUUAAGUGAGGCAAAUACUGUGCUGCCAGCCUGUGGGUUAACCAUUUACAGACUUCAUUUUUUUCCACAGAGAUUUUGCAUGGUCAUGUAAUUAACACAGUUACAACUUCCUCUUUAAUGUCUGUCUCCACAUCCACAUGAUAAGCUCCUUUAAGCCCACCUGUCCCAUAUACCACUGUGUUCCCAGUGCCUAGCACAGGACCUGGAGUCCUUCAGGACACAAAAACUAUAAACAACCUUUCUCAGAUGGGGAAGCAAGGAGGCAGAAGAAUAAUACUAAAGGAUCCCGCAGUAAAUUCCAAUAGUAAAAAGAAUGAGAAGAAAGUUGUAUGAAGAUGUACUGGAAACGUGAGCGCUGGUGUUUUUACGAAGAAAUCAGUGAUAGAGAAAACUCUGGCUGUGGGUGACUCAGAUCUAGGCCCCUUGUCUGGUAACCGUAGGGAAUCCUACUGCAAAUAUGUGAAUAUUGAAGACUGAGCUCUACAUAGUAGGAAGAUAUUAAAACUGGUUUAGACGUUAACAAAUUUAACAAAGAUGAUGAAGACUAUAAAAAUACAUGAUGAUGCUUAAAUUGCUUAUUUUCUGGUUUUAAUAUAAAGGACUAACCACUAACGCAUAGAAAGCAUACAGCUACAAACCCGGUAUCAUGUCAUUGUAUGUUAAUUACUUCUGAAGUGCUAUUUUUUUUAAUGCAAAACACAGUUUUAUAUAGUCUGUUGCCCAUGUUGCAUAAUUACCUAAUCAUACCUAGAGAGAAAAGUAAAACUAGAGAGAAAAACUAAAGAGAAAGUUAAGGAUAAAUCUGAAUUCACGAUUCCCAAUUAAACUGAAAACUAUUUGAAUGUAACUCAAUAGUAUCUAUUGAUCUAUACUAUGGGGGUGAUUUCUCAAACUACGUAUUAUUUGGUAAAAGUCGGCCAGGAGUUAAUCUAUAAUUCUGUGCUAGUUCUGUUCUCUACUGGCAUAAUAAAGGUUCCAGGGUACUUAGAGUUCCCUGAAUCAAAGGCACCGUACAAGUAGAAAGUGGUGCAUGUAUUAUUAACCUUUCUGCGCUUGUUUCCUCAUCUGUAAUACGGGGUUAAUGAUAUUUCUGUACCUCACAAGAAUGUUGUGCGAAUUAAUGUUUGUAAAGCCCUUUAAGAUCCACGGAUGAAAGAUGCCAUAAAAGUCCAAAGGUGAUAAUAUUAUAGUUAUUGAAAUUGGAAACACCAAUAAUGUUCGGAACUGAAUAUAUAUUUGUUGCAAGGCAUCCUGUGUAUUAUGAAUUCACAGGCACUUACAGAACCUUAGUGUUUCAAAAUUAAUGUUUUGAUAUACAUAGAAUAAAUCCUGAAGAGAUAUUACAUGUAUGUUAUAAGCCAAAUGACUGUAAUUUGUUCAUAAGUAGCAAAAGCAUAGUAACAGUGUCCACAUUUUUCCAUGUUUCUUUAUAGAAAGUACUGCAGUAGAAGUCACUGGAUCUGUACUUGAAAUUAUGUAACGUGAGAGCAAUCUACUUACACCAAGGCAGUAAAUGGCAUGCUACAAAUGCUAACAUGAUUUAAUGAAAUCAUCUGUAUCUCUCUUAAUACUGUAUUUUUUCACUUAUACUUUGAAUCUAAUUGGCUUAUAAAUAUUAAGCAAAAGACACCUAAUAUUCCUGAAAAUGAAAAAUACAAAUUAUCAUUUG
rnacentral:lncRNA from 1 species